CUUCACCUCCUUGGAAAAGCUGAGGUUUUUAAACUCCAUGGUCGUGAUAGAGCUGGCCGCAAUGUGUUCCUCAUUGUCGGAAAACACUUUCCAGCUCGGUUCGUGAGCACCCAGGCUGUGAAUCUCUAUCUGAAGGAUAAGAUUUUCCCCUUCCUCAAAGAUGGGCCCUUCACGUUGGUGUACAUUCACACAGAUGUUCAUUGGACAGAGAAUUUCCCUGGAAUCUCCAAUCUCAAGGCAAUCUAUGAGUUCAUUCCAACCACCAUUAAGUACAACCUUAAAGCUGUUUAUUUUGUCCACCCCAGUUUGCAGGCUCGUCUGUUCUUCGCCACUGUCGGCCGCCUAAUUCUGGGCGCCGAGCUGUAUAACAAAGUGAAAUAUGUGAAAAGAGUGGAGUUUCUAUGGGAGUAUGUUAGAAGGAAAGAGAUAGAGUUACCGGAGUUUGUGUAUGAUUAUGAUGAGAAAUUGGAGUUCUGUCCUGUGAUGGACUCUGGUUUGGAGAGUGAUUAUCUCAGGCUCUUCUCCGCCUCGCCGUCUGUGGAUUCUGCGGUUUCUACGUACUCCUCCAUGAGGUGUUUUGCUUGAUGGUGAAGACUCAAAGAUGGAGUUGGGAUACAUGGGUCUUUUUGGGUUUUGUUGUAGGAGUUCUUUUGGAAGUAGUGGUAGUAAAUAUUGUGAGUAGGGACUCUCUGUAGGCAAAGUUAAAAGGUUUAUGAGCUUUCCUUAUAAAGAAACAAAUAUAAAGGCAGAUGAUUCUUCUGAACUCA